rnacentral:lncRNA from 1 species
UCCUGGGAACUGGGCUGUAUCUUUUGAAGACAUGUGGGAAGAAGAAGAAGAUGAUGAAUAUAGGAAGAGGUAGAGAAUUGCAGGAGAACCAUGGGGUCGAUGAUGGUGUCAACCAAUAUGAAGAUCUCAGGCAGCAAGUGUUUCCGAAGGGCA